CAUUUGAUGAAUAAUAAACUAAAAACUUUUCAAAAAUGCAUAAAAUGUAGAGCUUUGAAUGAUCAAAGUGGUCCCUUCAUGCUUUGAAUACUUGUUGCAUAAUUAUAUACAUUCUUAUCGAUUUAUGUCGUAAUUGUGUAUUCUUCUUGAUUGAGCUUUGUUGAACUGGCAAUGGAUCAACAAGUUCCGUCCAAGACUUCCAUUUCUUAUCAUGUAUUCUUGAGUUUCAGUGCCCAAGACAGUGGCAACACUUUUAGGCUGAUCAUCUCCAUAGGAAUUUGGUGCGAGCUGGUUUUCAUGUAUUCAAAUGUGACAAUGAUGAUGAUGAUAAUGGUGACAUAGAGAAAAGAGUUGACUUGAAGUCAAGAUUGAAAAAGGGAAUAGAGCAAUCAAGGAUGUCAGUGAUUGUACUGUCUCAAAACUAUGCGUCAUCUGAGAAGUGCCUGGAUGAGCUUGUCAUGAUUUUGGAGCAAAAAAGGAAUUUUGGGCACAUAGUUUUACCUGUUUUCUUUGACGUGGAUCCUUCCGAUGUAAGGAAGCAAAAGGCUAGUUUUGGUGAAGAAUAUUUCAGGAUUUUAAAUGGUGAGGAGGAAAGGAUUCAUAAGGUUAAAAACUGGAGCAAAGCUCUUAAAGAAGUAGCAGAUUUGGGAGGGAUGCCCCUUGCAAAAUCAAGCUGAUGGGUAACUUUUUCAAUCUUUGUUUCUUCUAUUGUUAAAACUACCGGAAUUAACCCUACUUGAAGUGAGGAUGAAUGACCAACACUUUGUCUUUUGUAUAAAAGUUAGGAAUUUCUUUAGUUGUUUGCUAAUUGCUAUGAUGCCUGUCAUCUUAAUAUUCCCACUUUUUUUUUCUCCUCAAGUUUCAUCAUAAUGAUCAGAAGACUUGUAAAAAGGGGAAAAGUGAAGCUUUUAGGUCUCUGUCAUUCUGAAGAUUGCAAAUACGUGAAUAUUUUCAUCUGUAUGUAUUUGAGUUGUAUUUUACAAUUUUCUAGAAUACUUCUCUAUAAUAUAUUUUUGUUUAUUAUCACCAUAUCUUUUUAGCGCUUCAAUUCAGAUUUGAUGGCAUUCAAAUUUAAUCUGAGCUUGCAGACAUGAGGCAAAGUUCAUUGAGAAUAUUGUUGAAAAAAAUCUACGGCCCACAGGCUUACACAGUGUUCCUUACCUCAUUGAUAUCAAUUAUCAGGCUGAAGAUAUUAUCUCCUGGUUACAAGAUAGUUCAACUAAUGUUGGUCUAUAUGUGAUUUGUGGGAUCGGUGGAAUUGGGAAGACAACCAUUGCCAAGUAUGCCUAUAACUCUUUUGCAAGAUCAUUUGAAGGACGCAGUUUUCUUGCGAACAUCAAUGAAACUGCAAAACAAUGUAAUGGCUUAGUUCGUUUUUGUAUGAUAUUGUUGGGAAAAAGGAGAAGAUAUCCAAUGUUGAUGAAGGAAUUAUGAUGAUUGAAGAUGCCGUAUGCUGUAAACAAAUUCUUCUCGUUCUUGAUGAUGUUGAUGAAGCUGACCAGAUAGAUGCAAUUUUAGGAAUGAGAGAUUGGCUUAAUCCGGCUAGUAAAAUCAUUAUAACAACGAGGCAUGAGUCAUUGCUAAAGCCUUCUGCAUCACACAAGGUGCUUAAAGUAGAAGCCUUAAAUAAAUUGGAUUCCCUAAAUCUUUUUAUCUGGCAUGCCUUCGGAGAAGAUCAUCCUUUGGAAGGUUAUCUUGAGCUCUCAAAACGGAUGGUUCUUCCUUUAGCCCUUUGUGUUUUAGGUUUCAGCUGUGUCAGGUAGAAGACCAGAAAUAUAGGGAAGUGCAUUAGAAAAGCUGGAAACAAUCCCUGAUGAUCACGUCAUUGAAAAACUUAAACUGAGUUUUGAUUCUCUUGAAGAUGAUCGUGACAAAGAUAUAUAUAGCUCUUUUCUUUCUUGGGAUGGACAGAGACGACUCUGUUAGAAUACUGGAUGGAUGUGGUUUUCACACAAUAAUUGGGAUGCAAAACCUCAUUGAUAGAAGUCUUUUGACAAUCAGUGACUUAAAUAAGUUGGAGAUGCAUCAGUUGCUUCGAGACAUGGGGAGAAAUAUAAGGAAUCACUGGAUCCUGGAAAACGUAGUAGACUUUAAAUGCAUCAGUCUAAUAAAUUGAAUGAUAAGACUGGCACUAAAAAGAUUGAAGGGAUCAGCCUUGACAUCCCCAUGUUGAUGGAAGAUAAAUCAGCCAAAAGAUUUUUCAAUGCGAUUAGCUCGAAAAGGCGCUUCCCCAAAGAUCAUGUAGAGAAUUAUGCAGAUCACAAUGUUUCGCUGCAACAACCUUCUUCUGGUUUUUAUUCAUGGCAUUCAAUGGACACUUCAUCGACAAACUCAAAUUACAGCAUAGGCACUGAUGCAUUUACGGUAAUGAGAAACCUAAGGGUGCUCAAACUAAACGAUGUGAACCUCAUUGGAUGCUACAAAGAAUUUCCCAAGAGAUUAAAAUGUUUGUCUUGGCGUAAAUGCCCUUUAAAAUACAUUCCUCAUGACCUUUCCUGGGAAGGACUAGUUUCUAUGGACAUGAGGUACAGCAGUUUACAACAAACAUGGUGUGGAACUGAGAUAUAAAUCAUGCUUUCCUUUCUUUCUCUUUCAGUAGUUUCUUUGCUUAAUCAAGGUUGUAAAUUCAGAAAAUAAAAUUAACUGGAUGCUUUUCGUUAGUCAGUUUUUGAGAUUUCUCAGGAUUCUUGUAACACCCAGUACGUUUGUAUGCCCCUUUAGAGCUAAAAAUUGAGCCUAUACGACCCUUGGUUUGAGUAGAAAUCGUUUGGGGUGAGUUAGAUGACGUUAAGGAAGUUCUAGAUGUGAUUCUAAGCCCGAGCGUCGCGUCAAAGGGACCCGGGACUUGGGGUCCGGGCCACACAGCCAGUCGGGAGGACCUUCUGGCUCCCUUCCGCACUGGGCUGCGCACCGGGCAGGGAAGCAGGGCGCUGUGGGGGGAGCGCCGCGCAGGCCCCCUCCACCUGACGGGAUUUCGUUUUAUCUAUACUAGACUAUCCCAAAACCCUAAAUCAGUCAAAAACAUAUCUCACUCUUCCCCAAAACUCUUAGAAGCAAAAUCAACUUGGAUUCAAGAUUCAAGGGUGAAAUCUCAUGCUUUCUCAAAACUUUUUCCGUCAAAAGCUAUGUUGAACAACCCUCUUUCAACUAAACAUAUUUUUGGAUGUUUUCCCCAAUUAUGAAAGUAAUUUAUCACUUCUGUCUAUGUGAGUUUUAAAUGUGGGUUGUUGAUUGAUUUUCCUGCAAACCUCUUUUUUUGACGAACUAAAACUUGAAUUGUUAAUGGAACUUGAGAAUUUGGGGCUUAUUGUUUGAAAUAUGAAACAUUAUGGAUACGAAAGCUUAUUGAGGUGUAUUGGAUUCAAAAAGUUAUAUUCCUUUUGUAACUCACCUUGUUACUCAAGUCUUGAUUUUGGUGAGAAGGAAGAAAUAUCUGUAUCCCUUGCCUAUAAGUUUGGGGUAUUAUUCUUAUAAUUUUCUUCUAUCAGUUUAUGAGAUUUCUCAGGAUUCUCAACCUUGGUCAUUGUUGGGAACUUACCAGAACCCCAAACUUCGCUGGAAUGCCCUGGCUCGAGAAAUUAAUUCUUAAAGACUCUGUUAAACUGGUUGAUAUUGAUGAGUCUAUCGGUUACCUCCAAGAAAUCGCCCUACUGAAUCUGAAAUACUGCAAGAGCAUCAAAAGCUGCCAAGAAAUUUUGGAAAAAUGACAACUGAAAGUCAAAUGAUGGAUGCAACAACGUCUAUGGGGGCAAAUAAUAUUGCCACAUCAAGUCGCACAAAUACUCCACCAACGAUGGCACCGACGGAGAAGCCCAAAAAAUUUUCUGGCAUAGACUUCAAGCAGUGUCAAUAAAAGAUGUUCUUUUACCUCACCACUUUAUAUCUACAAUGGUUCACUAGCGAAGACGCUCCCGAGGUGCCCGAGGGAACCUCGGACAAAGACUGCUUCGUUAUUGUAGAAGCUUGGAAACAUUCGGAUUUCCUUUGCAGGAACUAUAUUCUGAGUGGUCUCCAAGACGAUCUCUAUAAUGUCUAUAGUGGAACCAAGACAUCAAAAGAACUGUGGGGGGCACUUGAAAGGAAAUAUAAAAUGGAAGAUGCGGGAUUUAAGAAAUUCCUUGUUGCACGGUUCCUGGAUUUCAAAAUGAUUGAUAGCAAAUCUGUUGUCUCUCAAGUACAGGAGUUGCAAGUCAUCAUACAUGAUCUCCUAGCAGAAGGUAUAU